AACGAUCCAAACUCGUCCUACCA
rnacentral:snRNA from 1 species